rnacentral:piRNA from 1 species
UGUUAAUAUACUCGAGUGCUAAAAAUGGG